UUAAGAUACAGGGUGUGACUAUAAAGUAAUGAGACUGGUGUUUGUGUGCAGGAUCAGUCUCAUUACUUUAUAGUCAUGCCUUGUAUAUGC
rnacentral:pre_miRNA from 1 species